rnacentral:rRNA from 1 species
AGCGAACGCUGGCGGCAGGCCUAACACAUGCAAGUCGAACGGACCCUUCGGGGUUAGUGGCAGACGGGUGAGUAACACGUGGGAAUCUUCCUAUCGGUACGGAAUAGCUCAGGGAAACUUGAGGUAAUACCGCAUACGCCCUUCGGGGGAAAGAUUUAUCGCCGAUAGAUGAGCCCGCGUCUGAUUAGCUAGUUGGUGGGGUAAUGGCCCACCAAGGCGACGAUCAGUAGCUGGUCUGAGAGGAUGACCAGCCACACUGGGACUGAGACACGGCCCAGACUCCUACGGGAGGCAGCAGUGGGGAAUAUUGGACAAUAGGCGCAAGCCUGAUCCAGCCAUGCCGCGUGAGUGACGAAGGUCUUCGGAUUGUAAAGCUCUUUUGCCAGGGACGAUAAUGACGGUACCUGGAGAAUAAGCCCCGGCUAACUUCGUGCCAGCAGCCGCCGUAAGAC